AUUUACUCUUUCAAAGAACCAACUCUUCAUCAAUUUGUUGUAUUGUUUUCUUAGUCUCAAUUGUGUUCACUUCUAUUCUGAUAGUUAUUAUUUCCUCUCUUGUAUGGACUUUGUUACUUUUGCUUUGACAGGUCACCAGAGCCACCUGUCUACUGUUUACAACUAAGCCAGAAUCCUACUGUGUAACUAGGGGUUAUUAUAGGUCCAAUUUGGUUUCUCCUGUUGGGGAAGCCUCACUGGCACUUUUGUCAGCCCAUCUGGUGUUCUCUGUAUGGAAGAAGACUCACCUGUGUUCUCCCUGGCUCGUCCAUGUCCUCUAGGCCACCAUGAAUGAAGCAGCUAUACUCUGCAACACCCUUCAUCCAUGAUGUUCCUAACUUGGAAGAAGUUGACCAUGGACUGAAAUUCCCCAAAACUGUGAAACAAAUGAACCUCUUCUGCUUUUUUAAUUUAGUAUUUUCCACUUGCUUAAAAUGAGAAGACAAAAGAAAAGAAGUCUAUAUUUUGGGAAGACAACUGCAGCCAGAUGUAUGAAUAAAUGUGAGAUCCAUAGGAACUUUAUGGGAGGGUGGAGAAUCAGACAAGACAGUGACUUUGAUAGUGCUUUGAGAUGAAGUGCUAUACCUAUCUCCCCACAUCCCUUCUGUUUCUUUCUUUCUGUAAGAUUUUGCUAUGUUGUCCAAGCUAGUCUUGGAUUCUGGCUGAAACCAUCUUCUUGCCUCAGCCUACUGAGUGUCUGGGGCUACAGACACGUUGCUCUGCCUGAUAGGAGAAUUGGACAAGCUAACUUCUUUCAUAUUCAGUGGUACAAGCAAAUACUUACUUUUGAAAUAAGAAAUAUAUAGGACAAUCAUUCACCCUUCAGAGCGUGCCUCAUGCACCUUCUUGGCAGUCAAGUUAGAAAAAGGAAGCAUCUGAGCAGAGCCCUUGGCAGGGCAGAGAUGACUCUCUCUUCCUCCCUGCUCUGCAAGCGAGCCUUUGGAAGGUUGCCAUCCUUACAUUUGCACGCACCAAACCUGCAAACUCACUGUCCAAACUGGGCUUCUCACUUUUGACUUACUUCCUGGGGACGUUCUAAGAGAGGAAACAUUUAUAGGCUCUGCCCAUGGCUCUGGAUGGCGCAGCACACUGGGAGUAUCUCUUAUCAGGAUUUUAGAGCUCACAUCUUCCAAACAGUGUAAUCUUUUCCAUCCUAACGUUUGCUUAUGCUCUAAAAGCAAUUCUAGCAGGUCAGAUGUACAUUGUCUCUUCCUCUCUGGAGAAUUGUAUUUGUCCUGGUUCUUGUCUUGUUUAACUGCAUUGGGGCAUUUCCUUAAAGGGUUAUCCAGGGAUGGCUUGGGCUAUAUUGGUGAGAAAUGAAUGCUCAGAGAGUUGUUAUUACAUUUCAUAAAUGUCUAGGAUGAAAGGCCCUGAGCUGCAAAGUAUAUUAUCGUUACCCUUUGUGUGAGCUAAGAACUCUCUAAUGAAAAACAGCAGCAGCAACAGUCAGACACAGGAACCUCUGUCAGGAACCUAGUCCUUCACCUCCACAGAAGAUGAUGAGCCACCCCAACAAGCUUCACUCAAGAUGCAGAAAUGUUUGCUGUUGUAUUUCACAUCUGCAACAUCCAUUAGAUCAUAGACCCUUCAGAUCCUUUAUUCUGGGCCCCUAUCAUGAAAUCAAACAGCAUAUGAGAUCUGUCCUGUGGGUUUUACACCUAUGUAUAGGUUAGUUUCUUUAAAUCUCACAACAGCCCUCUGAGGCAAACACAGUCAUAAUCAUCACCUUAUUUUGGAGGUAAAGAAGAACUGCAUGCUAAGUGGUGACUGCCAAGGUCACAUAGGUAGUAAUUAAAGAAGGAUUCAGGUUUGGCAGCCGUGCCCAGACAUCUCUAGUAAGCAGCAUACUACACUAAAUUAACACAUGCAAAAUGCUUAAACAAAUACCUGGUAUAAUUAUAAAAAUCAGUAUUAGUCAUUAUGUUCUCCUUUUAUGAGUUCUGGGCAGUUUCUAAUUUUAUGCUAUGACUGAUGUGCUCAGAAAAGUGAGUUUGUACCCAAAAGGGAACUGAAAACAACAUCAUUAGUCCAUAAAUGGCUGCUUGUUAAGCAUCCUUGAGCUGGACACUUGGGAACUACAUGGCAGAAUGAAGUUGAAGUUGACAAAAUCUUGGACUUUGCAGAGGAGAGAAGUAUGAGGUAUAUCAAAGUGAGGUCACUAUUUCAACUUCAUCUUUUUGUGGACCUUCAAAAGAUCUUUGCUUUGUUCUUGAGUCAGAAUUUUAUAGGUAGGGAAGUAUGAAGGGACAGUGGUGAAUGAAAAAUAUCUACCAGUAGCCUUGGAGAUGCUUUGUCUUCUCCUUUACCCACACAUAAGUAAUCUCGAGUCCGUAAAUGUUUUCAUCUUUAUGAGAUUACUUUUGUUUCACAAAGUCUUUGAACUUAAUUUGAAGAAAUUCCACUUGGAACAAAUACUUUGGGCCUGGGAGAGAAGCACACAGUAAAAUAUUCCUUCUGCUCUGAUCUAUACUAAGGCGUAUUCAUGUUGAAGACUUUAUGAUUUAUAUAAAACACAGGUGUCCAUGUUUAUAAAAAUCACUGUGGAGCAGGCUAUUGAUACAAAUGCUGUAAGCAUGAGUAAUUUUAAACAUUCUUGGAAUCCUCUGGGGUGGCUUGAUAUAGCACUUGAUAUAGCACAGAAACCAAUGCACUGGAAAGCAGAAGCAGUGAAUUCAGAGUACAUAAUAAAGUUUUUUCUUUAAUAAUAUUGAAAAUGAUUUAGUCCAUUUUUGAAUGAAAUAUACCAUUUAGGAAACAUCACAAUGACUCAGUAAAAUCUUACAAUGUCAGUGACUUAGAGUAAAAAGUAUUUGGGUGUCAUUCAUUCUAUCUUUGGUGGUUCCCCAGAGUUUCAUACUCAAUCUAGGACCAAGGGUGAUGGUGGAACCACUCACUGAAGUCUUGCCAGUCCCAGCAUGAGAGAGAAAGCAGAUUUUCAAAGGGUCUAAAACUGGCAACUGAUGCUUUGCUCUGCAAGUGACCCAUGUCACUUAUACUCAAAAGUCAUUGCCCUGAAUUGUAGGCAUGAUCCUAAGAAAUACAAUUCUUUCUUAUACUGAAAGGAUAGAGAAGCAGAACUAGCCUGGGAAUCAGAGAACUACUGACAAUCACAGAUAGGUAAUAUUUCAGUACAAUGUGUUGAUAGGAAAAGAUGGGCGCACCUAAGAUUUAUGAAGAGAGUCAAUGAGAAAACUCAACUUGAAGAGAAAUAAAAUGUGCUGUAAUUGCAAAUAUGUAUGGGGCUAGAUUGAGAAAGUCUUAAAUAUCAGGCUUAGGAUUUUAUCUUUUGUGCCCAAGCUGGGGAUUUUCAAAAUUGUUUUUGUCAGUGUAGAAAAUUUUAAAGUAAACUAUUAUAGAUGACAAUAUGCAAGUAAGGGAAAAAGAAUCACAUCUUGCGGAAGUGGGUGUGAGAGCCCAGAGAGCUUCGCUGGCCUCCCGGUGCCUUCUCAGGGUUUCCCAUGGGUUCCUGUAAUACAGUCUAAAAAACUCAUUUCUCAGACCUUAACACACUUUCUAGUGCAUUUCAACACUGGAGAAAUAAGAAAUCCUCAGUCAAAGGUAUAGAUAGCAACUAGAGAUUAAUUAAAAAGAUAGAUUAAAGUGAAAGAGAAAUUCAGGACAAAAAGUUCAAUAAAAAUUGCAAAAUAAUAAGACACUUAAAUCUGUUUGUUGACAAAGAUAGAUGUGUCUCAAAGAAUUAUUUGACAAACUGGUGAUUGAUUGGACUUCAGGGUUCACAGAAAGGGUGGAAUCAAAUAAAACAACAUGUUUGAGGCUUGUAAACUUGGGGGAUGAUGGAAAUAUGAAUGUUAAUAUGAAGACCAACAGGAAGAGCUUUAUGGAUGUGUCCUCUAGUAUUCAUUUAGUAGCUACUUUAUGAUAUGAUAUGAAAUGCUUGGAGAAAAUACAAAUUUAAUGUGAAAUAUGCUAGAUUUAGGUGGUGGCAGGUUACUUUCAGAUAUUUAUCCUGAAAUGCCUGAUGCACGGUUUUAAGCACAAUAUUGGCAUUAAAGAGAAUUCAGGGUUGAAGCUGUGCCUUGGGACACAUUAACAAACAAAUGAAAUGCUGUUAAUUGGAUGGAUAAUUGUAAACAAAGGCUCAUAUACAUCUGAAUCAGAAAGAGGCUUGAAGCACAGAGUAAUUCUCAUCUUCAGUGUCACUAAAGCAGAUGCUAAUCCUUAGGAAGUUUAUUAUUAAUAAUAGCAACAAUGAAGACCUCUCUGUCAUGGUUUAUAAAAGUAGCCCUCAAGCCUCUUGCAAUUAUGCACGUGAUGAAGUCUAUUGUUUGUGAUUGGUUCAUUGUCUAGUGCUUUGAUUGGUGGCAUGAGUGUUUCACCUACCCAGGGGUGGAACCAGGAUAUUAUGUGCUGGAGAAGAAGGUGUGUCUUUCUCUCUUCUUGGUUCACAAUUGCUGUUUACAGUAGUGCUGCCAUGCCACCCUGCUGUCUGGAGCCAACUGAAUAUGGACUGAAACCUUCAACGUGUGAGAAAUAAACUUUUCCUCCCCUA